GAUGAACGCUGGCGGCGUGCCUAAUACGUGCAAGUCGAGCGAACGGACGAGAAGCUUGCUUCUCUGAUGUUAGCGGCGGACGGGUGAGUAACACGUGGAUAACCUACCUAUAAGACUGGGAUAACUUCGGGAAACCGGAGCUAAUACCGGAUAAUAUUUUGAACCGCAUGGUUCAAAAGUGAAAGACGGUCUUGCUGUCACUUAUAGAUGGAUCCGCGCUGCAUUAGCUAGUUGGUAAGGUAACGGCUUACCAAGGCAACGAUGCAUAGCCGACCUGAGAGGGUGAUCGGCCACACUGGAACUGAGACACGGUCCAGACUCCUACGGGAGGCAGCAGUAGGGAAUCUUCCGCAAUGGGCGAAAGCCUGACGGAGCAACGCCGCGUGAGUGAUGAAGGUCUUCGGAUCGUAAAACUCUGUUAUUAGGGAAGAACAUAUGUGUAAGUAACUGUGCACAUCUUGACGGUACCUAAUCAGAAAGCCACGGCUAACUACGUGCCAGCAGCCGCGGUAAUACGUAGGUGGCAAGCGUUAUCCGGAAUUAUUGGGCGUAAAGCGCGCGUAGGCGGUUUUUUAAGUCUGAUGUGAAAGCCCACGGCUCAACCGUGGAGGGUCAUUGGAAACUGGAAAACUUGAGUGCAGAAGAGGAAAGUGGAAUUCCAUGUGUAGCGGUGAAAUGCGCAGAGAUAUGGAGGAACACCAGUGGCGAAGGCGACUUUCUGGUCUGUAACUGACGCUGAUGUGCGAAAGCGUGGGGAUCAAACAGGAUUAGAUACCCUGGUAGUCCACGCCGUAAACGAUGAGUGCUAAGUGUUAGGGGGUUUCCGCCCCUUAGUGCUGCAGCUAACGCAUUAAGCACUCCGCCUGGGGAGUACGACCGCAAGGUUGAAACUCAAAGGAAUUGACGGGGACCCGCACAAGCGGUGGAGCAUGUGGUUUAAUUCGAAGCAACGCGAAGAACCUUACCAAAUCUUGACAUCCUUUGACAACUCUAGAGAUAGAGCCUUCCCCUUCGGGGGACAAAGUGACAGGUGGUGCAUGGUUGUCGUCAGCUCGUGUCGUGAGAUGUUGGGUUAAGUCCCGCAACGAGCGCAACCCUUAAGCUUAGUUGCCAUCAUUAAGUUGGGCACUCUAAGUUGACUGCCGGUGACAAACCGGAGGAAGGUGGGGAUGACGUCAAAUCAUCAUGCCCCUUAUGAUUUGGGCUACACACGUGCUACAAUGGACAAUACAAAGGGCAGCGAAACCGCGAGGUCAAGCAAAUCCCAUAAAGUUGUUCUCAGUUCGGAUUGUAGUCUGCAACUCGACUACAUGAAGCUGGAAUCGCUAGUAAUCGUAGAUCAGCAUGCUACGGUGAAUACGUUCCCGGGUCU
rnacentral:rRNA from 1 species